CAAUUGCCAGAUGAAGGUGUUUAGAAUGUCGACGUCGGUGGUAAUUGCAAUGUCAGAUAGAUGCAUGGAAUAGACAAGAGGAUAUUGAACGCAUCGGGUUCCACUCUGUGCAAGUUGACGGUGAUGAUCUUGAUGAUGAUACUUGUGGCCUCUGUGGAGAUGGUGGGGAUUUGAUCUGUUGUGAUAGCUGUCCAUCAACAUUUCAUCAGAGCUGCUUGAAUAUACAGAUGCUUCCUCCAGGUGAUUGGCACUGUCCAAAUUGUACAUGCAAAUUUUGUGGGAUAGCAAGUGAGAAUGUUGCUGAAGAGGAUGAUACAACUGUUUCUGCACUGCUCACUUGCAACCUCUGUGGAAAUUUACUGUCUAAGUCUCCUAGGAAAUUUAUGUUUUUAUGGGUAUUUUUACAUUUGAUACCUUGUAUGAACACGGACACAAUAUUUAAAUUAAACGGCCUCUAUUUGGUUUCAGGUUAAGCAAAUGGUGAUUGCCAUAAUGAUGGAAUCUGACUUGCAAUUGUCAAAUGAUCUUCUUGAGUCUAUCAUUGAUAAUGUAAGCACUACGUAGUUGUGUAAGUUUGGAUGUUGUUUUAUUGGGUGGUAAUCAGAGCUUGUGGAGAAUUUA